AUAUUUCUUUACUCCGUAAGCGACUCCCUUCCAACCGCAGACCACCUUUCUUGAUGCUUCAUCAAAGUUGAUACAAGUAGAACAGAAGCAUAAUUUUUUUUUUGGAAAAUUAAUUUUAGAGCAAAGUCUUAUACAUUUUGAAACAGAACCACACUAUCUUCUGCCUGUACAGGAGUGUUCUUGCUCAGUUCUAGACAGGGGAACGAGGAUGGUUGUCAUGCUCCAUAGGAUCAGUUGCCUGAAAUCAACUACAGUCUGGAAACACUACAUGGAGAAUUCCAGAAAUAUAUAAUUUAUAAAUUUUAUUACAGUGUAUUAUAGUAUUUUCAUAUCAGUUAUUGUAGUCCACUUCCUAGUGUGCUGAACUGACAAACUCUAUUCUGAGUAGGUAUGUGUAGGAAAAAGAGCAAUAUACAGAACUUGGUUAUAUUAGCAGUGCAGGUACUACCUGGGGUCUUGGAAUAUAUCCGUGAAUAUUGGGAUACUACUUAACCCAGGGUCAAAGGCCAAAGCCUAUGCUGCAGAGAAGAAAGUCAGCUGAGCCGGAAGCAGUGCUGACCAAGAAAAUGGUGUCCAUUCAGAACUGGCCCCUGGCUGCCCUGGCAAGUCCUCAUUAAAUCACCCAGCCUCUCAGCAGCCAACCCCACCCACCAUUCUCCCUUGGGCUUUUACUCCUAAGAAAGUGAGUAACUGAAGACAGACCCGCAUGCACAAAAGUGUUUGCUGUACAGUUAUCCUAGCAAGGAGAAAGCAGACACGUGUGGGCACAGAUAAAUGCUUUUGUGGACAGCUGCUGAUGGAGUGUCGGAACCUUUCAUUACAAAGAACUCACUGACAUGGGGAAAAAAAUCUUUACAGAGCGAAGUAGAAAAAAAAAAGCAGCCUGCAAAAUGCUGGGUACUCAUGCGAUUACAAGUCUCUCAAACAUGCAAAGAACACAAGAGCAGACCAUAACGCACCAUGGUGGCACCACUCAUGGAGCUGGAGCACUGGAGCGGGAGGACAAGGGCUGAUGUUUUUCUUUUAUUAAACAUACCUGACAGUGAACAUGCUAACAAGGUCUAGAACUGGCAAUUGCAGAGUCUCUAUAGAAUUGGCUGUACACCCUGUGUCAGUGGACAAAAGGAUAUGAAUGACCCCCACAUACCUCCAGGAAGGCCAUGGCCACAUCAUCUUCUUGGAGGAGAUCGCCAUACAUGGCCGCCCACUGCAGGACCAAGCGGAUGACCCGCCUCUUGUUGUUGAGGGCAUAAUCCAUUCUCUCCUGCUCGGUACCUUGAGAAGGCUGUGCGUGGUAAGUGCCAAGGAGUCAAGGAAACCACAGAGCUACUUCCCACCCGUUUCGCUUGUGCUACGUGCAAGGCAGAGAAUGACAGAUCCCAGCUUUGGACUUAUGCCAUCUCCCACGUUGGUCCUCAAGGAAACUUCCCAUCACAGUGUCUGAAGCACACACGCACACACUGUUGGUGACUCCUGAUAGCUGACUGAAGAGUUAGACUGCAGGCUCCACAGACAUGACCAGGAUUCCUGCAGGGUCUAGCCUCGGUUCUCAUUCUCCCUUCCUGUCCUAUACCCCACCCUCCAGGACAGUAAUGUGAUUUCCCAUUGCUUACUUCUGGGUAUUUUGCCUCCUCCUGUUGGUCCCCUUAAUUCUGCCCCUAUCAUUAUGAUCCUUCUUUGCAUGAAUUCCAAUUUAACUCUUCUGAGUGGGGUACCCCAUUCUGCUAGGACCAUGGCUGGUGCAGUGUUUAUAGAAACAAGCCAGGAGGAUGUAGAGGAACUCACUCUGCAUUACAGAGUCCCUAGUGAGAGCUCCAGACCCUCCUUAUGCCACCUCUUCAUCUCUCAUCCAGAGCCACUGCCUACUUCAUCAUCAAUUUGAGCCACGUGGCCGGCCAUCUUAAUUAUAAGCCAGUGAGGCUUGGAGGGGAUCUUUGUCCUGUGUUCUAUACCAUGCCUAGUGCUGUGAGCCUCGAUGGCAAACUUUUUAUUUAUUCAUCAGUAGAAUUCAACACUUAACUGAGUGUCCACCACACGUCUAAAGUAAAGGGUCAUACUGCCAUUACCACUCCUGUGUAGACAGCACAAGUAUUUUAGAUCAGACACCCUUUUCCUUUUUUAGUGAUUUAUAGGCGCUCAUAUCAUGGUCACCCUGUUCAUAAAACAACUUAGCAUUUAUAGUUUAUGUUAUAAACUGCACAAAAGGGACUUUGGUGAAGCUCUAUUUUAGCAUCUGGCGACAAAAAUGUUGUUUCCUUUCUAAAAGUGGGCAAACCAACACAAAAGGAACAUAAAAGGCUAUGAUUAUCUAGGGAGAGGGCACAGUUGGCUUUGAGUCCAAGACUCCCGACUCUGGCUAGCUUCAUUCCCACUGAACAGCAUUCCUGAGCCUUGUAGCAAAUAACAAGACCAGCCUCGUCUGAGCUGACAGCCAGGCUUAAAAGGCACCAUAGAAAACUGCCUCGUGGCAGUGCCGUACUUGAGAGCUAACGCAGCAAAGGGCCUUUCGGAAAGAACUAUAAAUAAUCAUGAUCAAGGCAAAUGACAGAAACUUAAAGCAAAGGUUUACUGCAUGUAAAUGGGUUGCAAAAUGGCUUUCAUAAAUUGAGCACGAGAUUCAUAAAAAAAGAAAAUUGCUCAACCUGUAUUGCUACAAUUCUCUCUGAGCUUACAAUAAAAAAAAGGGAAG
rnacentral:lncRNA from 1 species